rnacentral:misc_RNA from 1 species
UUAAAUUCUGUUUUGAUCAGACACAGGCUAAUCAGCAUAGGUUCGACGCCCAGAGGCGCCGAAGCACAUCUCACUUCCACAGGUUUGAAGGAUGAAGGACCCAAAAGUCCAUCUUAUUAAUGAUCCCUCCGCAGGUUCACCUACGGAGA